AGAAAGGGUUUCUGCGAUGAGUGGCACACGUAAGGACAGCUCACUUGCUCUGUGUGGAGGCGACAUCAGGAGAUUUCAGAAACAUAACUUUUUGGCAGUUGGGCAGCUGUUUAUCACUGAUCCUGGCUCCCCU